rnacentral:lncRNA from 1 species
AAGAAGAUAAUUGUAAACUGACUAUUAUUGAAUCAAUGGAUUGAAUGAAUGAUUUACAUAAGAUAAUGACCUUAUACAAGGAACCAACUAAAUGGAAAUCCUUGCUAACGAAAGUAAAAUAGAAAACUGAAAAAGACUCAUCUAACUAUAAUAAGUGAGCUUUAUAAUAUACAACUCAAUAACCCAAUACAAUGAGAAACCUAUAUACAUGUAAUACCCUCCCUCAAGCUGGAGAGUGUAUAUUUUGCACUCCCAACUUGAACCGUAAAUAAAGAAAAACAGUUGGCUCCAAUGCUUUUGUAAACAAAUCAGCUACUUGCUCUUUGGUGGAAAUGGGCAGUAAUGUGAAGAGGUUGUUCUUUAAUCGUUCACGAGUAACAUGGUUGAUAAAUGCCAAACAUAUCUAAAAAUCAUACACUUUUAUGACACUUAUCGUAAGCAUAAUUGAGAAAAACCAACUUAAAACAAUACUUUUUGUAUAAAAUAUCACAAUUUGGUAUAUUUGUGUUUGUAUUGCCUUUUUAUGUAUUUUGUAGGAAAUAAAAUGAAGACAAGAAGAGAAAAGAUUCAUGGUCAAAAAGCAACAAA